UAGAUGUUGACAUACUAAGCAUCAAAAGUUUGUGACCUAAAAAAAAAAACAAAAAAACUUUGUGACCUGGAAUCAUGACUGUUUCUAUAUAACUUUAAAAUUGGGUUUGAACAUCACCACCUUCUGUAGCUUAACCUCUGCUUCACCUUUCCUUGCCCUGUUCCUUGUUGUUCAGUCACUAACUCGUGUCUCAUCUUUUGUGACCCAUGGACUGUAGCCCACCAGGCUCCUCUAGCUGUUGGAUUUUCCAGGCAAGACUACUGGAGUGGGUUGCCAUUUCCUUCUCCAAUCCUGUUCCUGGGGUCCUAGUCAAAAACUUCCUUUUUCCACUUCCCCUCACCCAGAACCUCAGCCUCAGGAGCCCAGCUGCUUGCUCCUCUCGAGCACCUACUCAUUUCCGGGCACUGUUCUGGGUCCUCGGGAUUUACCAGUGAGAUCUACGAAGAUCAAGGCCCUUCGUGAGCUUCCUUUCUAGCAGAGGAGAGAGACAAUAAAUGUAACUCAAGUUAUUAAUCAGUUGGAUCUCACUUCCCUAACCAGAGAUGAUUGAACCAGUGCCCCCUGCUGGUUCAGGGCAGGAAGUUCAGAGUCUUAACUACUGGACUGCCAGGGAAG